CACACUCUCUCACACACUCACACACACACUCUCACUCUCACACACUCACACUCACACACACACUGUCACACACACACUCGUGUACACUCACACUCUCACACACACACUGACACACACACACUCACUCACACUCACACACACUGUCACACACACUCGUGUACACUCACACACUCUGUACACUCUCACAUACACACUGUCACACACUCUCACACUCAUUCACACUCACACACACACUCUCACACUCUCACACACACUGUCACACACACACACACUCGUGUACACUCACACACUCGUGUACACUCUCACAUACACACUGUCACACACUCUCACACACACACACACACUCACACACACACUGUCACACACACUCGUGUACACUCACACACUCGUGUACACUCUCACAUACACACUGUCACACACACACACUCUCACACACACACACACACACUCGUGUGCACUCACACCGAUCUCCGUAACUCAAACAGCAUCCACCCCCCCCCUCCCCCCUCCCCCGAAGCCUUCUCCGUCCCUCUGUGCGCAGCUGCCUUCCCUCUGAGGGUCGUCUUUCACAUUUCCCUGCAGUUGCCCUCAGAGUGCGGAGUGAGACACACGCACGUUCCACUCACUGUGCCUGAUCUGCGCGGCGCUGGGGACUGAACCUAGAGCCUCGAGCUCGCUAGACAGACACUCUGGAGCCGGGGCCACAUCCCCGCCGCUGAGGGGGUUUGUAAUCAAAGCUUGAAGACAGAAAGCACAAGUGUUUCUAGUUGACCCAAGGCGACCCCAGGGGAGUUAUUGGCUGGAGGAGACCCCAGGGCAGUGAUUGGCUGGAGGUGACCCCAGGGCAGUGAUUGGCUGGAGGAGACCCCAGGGCAGUGAUUGGCUGGAGGAGACCCCAGGGCAGUGAUUGGCUGGAGGAGACCCCAGGGCAGUGAUUGGCUGGAGGAGACCCCAGGGCAGUGAUUGGCUGGAGGAGACCCCAGGGCAGUGAUUGGCUGGAGGUGACCCCAGGACAGUGAUUCCCUGGAGGAGACCCCAGGGCAGUGAUUGGCUGGAGGCGACCCCAGGGCAGUGAUUGGCUGGAGGAGACCCCAGGGCAGUGAUUGGCUGGAGGAGACCCCAGGGCAGUGAUUGGCUGGAGGAG
rnacentral:lncRNA from 1 species